GAUGUAUGAUUAGUUAUUUGAUGUAUAAUUUAGUGUUAAAUCUACUGAUUUGGGUGUUUUUGCACUCUGCUGGCCGAUUUGAUUUGGGUGUUUUUGCACUCUGCUGGAUUUUCAGUUGUUCUACAUGUGCAGUUUAAAUGAAGAUAGAGAAUAACUACGAUCGUCUUGUAUCUAUGUUCACUAUUAAUAUCUUGAUUUAGUUAACUUUUCAAUUGGUUAGUUGUAGGUACUAUCGGUUGUUUUUCUGUUUGAGAG
rnacentral:lncRNA from 1 species